ACUGAAGUAUGACAAUGUGCAAAGGCUACUUGAACAAGUUUUGAUGCGGAUGAGAAACAAGUUUUGAUGCGGAUGAGAAACAAGUUUUAUUGGGACCCUUGCAUUUUAUCAUAUGUAAAUGUAUUUUAGUGACAAUAUUUGUAGAGUUCAUUAUUUACUUGAGCUGAAAAUAGUUGUACAUUAACGUGAUUUUGUAACAUUUGAAUGAAAUAAUUUAUGUGUCUUGGUGAUAGAAGAUUAAUAGUAGUUAAUUAAAUAAUUAUUAGGUAGUAUUUAAUUAAGUAAUUUAGAUAUUAAUGAGAUAUAUUAUUUAUAUUAUUAGUUUGAUAUUUAUGUUAUUGGAUUGUCAAAUGAGUUUUAUUCCCUUAGGCCCAUUAGGAGUCCUAUAUAUGUAGUGUUCUUUCAUAUUUUAACCUAAUGAAUGAAAAUGAAGUCUUUUAUUUUAUGUUUAUUUUACUUGUUUUCUUUAUUG
rnacentral:lncRNA from 1 species